GACCCGUUAGCUCAGCCGGUAGAGCAUUUGACUUUUAAUCAAAGGGUCCGGAGUUCGAAUCUCCGACGGGUCACCA
rnacentral:tRNA from 1 species